rnacentral:rRNA from 1 species
AGGUCAAGUGAAGAAGGGCGCACGGUGAAUGCCUUGGCACUGGAAGCCGAUGAAGGACGCGACUAACCGCGAAAGUCUUCGGGGAGCCGUAAGUAGGCUUUGAUCCGGAGGUCUCCGAAUGGGGGAACCCAGCAUGUGCAGACAUGCUAUCCUUAAGUGAAUACAUAGCUUAAGGAAGGAACACGCAGCGAACUGAAACAUCUAAGUAGCUGCAGGAAGAGAAAGAAAUAUCGAUUUCCCAAGUAGCGGCGAGCGAACAGGAAAGAGCCCAAACCGGCAGAUUUAUCUGCCGGGGUUGUAGGACUGAGACAUGGCACUUCAGAGGAUAGCAGAAGCGUUUGGGAAGACGCGCCAGAGAGGGUGAGAGCCCCGUAAGCGAAAUCCAAAGAAGGCCUAUCAGUAUCCUGAGUAGGGCGGGACACGUGAAAUCCCGUUUGAAUCCGCGAGGACCAUCUCGCAAGGCUAAAUACUAACCAGUGACCGAUAGUGAACCAGUACCGUGAGGGAAAGGUGAAAAGAACCCCGGGAGGGGAGUGAAAGAGAACCUGAAACCGUGUGCCU